rnacentral:misc_RNA from 1 species
UCCGGUUUGUCACCGGCAGUCUCGCAUGAGUCCCCAACUAAAUGCUGGCAACAUGCGACGGGGGUUGCGCUCGUUGCGGGACUUAACCCAACAUCUCACGACACGAGCUGACGACAGCCGUGCAGCACCUGUGCUCGCUCCCUCGCGGGUCAGCCGACUUUCGCCGACUUACCACGAGCAUGUCAAGCCCGGGUAAGGUUCUUCGCGUUGCAUCGAAUUAAACCACACGCUCCGCUGCUUGUGCGGGCCCCCGUCAAUUCCUUUGAGUUCUAGCCUUGCGGCCGUACUCCCCAGGCGGGGUGCUUACUGCGUUAGCUGCGGCACCGCGGGGGUCGAUACCCGCGACACCUAGCACCCAUCGUUUACGGCGUGGACUAC